rnacentral:rRNA from 1 species
CGGAAGCCUGAUCCAGCCAUGCCGCGUGAGUGAAGAAGGCCUUCGGGUUGUAAAGCUCUUUCGGCGGGGAAGAAAUUGCACGGGUUAAUACCCUGUGUAGAUGACGGUACCCGAAUAAGAAGCACCGGCUAACUACGUGCCAGCAGCCGCGGUAAUACGUAGGGUGCGAGCGUUAAUCGGAAUUACUGGGCGUAAAGCGUGCGCAGGCGGUUUGGUAAGUCAGAUGUGAAAUCCCCGGGCUCAACCUGGGAACUGCAUUUGAGACUGCCAGGCUGGAGUUUGGCAGAGGGGGGUGGAAUUCCACGUGUAGCAGUGAAAUGCGUAGAGAUGUGGAGGAACACCGAUGGCGAAGGCAGCCCCCUGGGCCAAUACUGACGCUCAUGCACGAAAGCGUGGGGAGCAAACAGGAUUAGAUACCCUGGUAGUCCACGCCCUAAACGAUGUCAACUAGGUGUUGGGAGGGUAAAACCAUUUAGUACCGGAGCUAACGCGUGAAGUUGACCGCCUGGGGAGUACGGCCGCAAGGUUAAAACUCAAAGGAAUUGACGGGG